rnacentral:rRNA from 1 species
ACUCAAAGGAAUUGACGGGGGCCCGCACAAGCGGUGGAGUAUGUGGUUUAAUUCGACGCAACGCGAAGAACCUUACCGGGGCUUGACAUGCACAGGACAGGUGUAGAGAUACACCCUCCCUUCGGGGCCUGUGCACAGGUGCUGCAUGGCUGUCGUCAGCUCGUGUCGUGAGAUGUUGGGUUAAGUCCCGCAACGAGCGCAACCCUUGUCCUUAGUUGCCAUCAUUUAGUUGGGCACUCUAAGGAGACUGCCGGUGAUAAACCGGAGGAAGGUGGGGAUGACGUCAAGUCCUCAUGGCCCUUACGUCCCGGGCUACACACGUACUACAAUGGCCGGUACAGAGGGUUGCAAUGUCGCGAGACGGAGCCAAUCCCAAAAAGCCGGUCUCAGUUGGGAUCGUAGUCUGCAACUCGACUACGUGAACGCGGAAUCGCUAGUAAUCGCGGAUCAGCACGCCGCGGUGAAUACGUUCCCGGGCCUUGUACACACCGCCCGU